UACAGAGGGUGCUAGCGUUGUUCGGAAUUAUUGGGCGUAAAGCGCGUGUAGGCGGCCAGGCAAGUUGGGUGUGAAAGCCCUCGGCUUAACCGAGGAAGUGCGCCCAAAACUACUUGGCUUGAGUACCGGAGAGGAUGGUGGAAUUCCCGGUGUAGAGGUGAAAUUCGUAGAUAUCGGGAGGAACACCAGUGGCGAAGGCGACCAUCUGGACGGAUACUGACGCUGAGACGCGAAAGCGUGGGGAGCAAACAGG
rnacentral:misc_RNA from 1 species